rnacentral:tRNA from 1 species
GGGGCUAUAGCUCAGUUGGUAGAGCGUCCGGUUCGCAAUCGGAAGGUCGUCGGUUCAAAUCCGACUAGCUCCA